ACUGGUUCCCAUAUGAUCACCAAAGUUAAGCAAUGUCUAGUCUAGUCAGUACUUAGAUGGGUGACUGCUUGGGAAUACCAGGU